UGCAAGUCUCGUGCGUUCGGUCGGUGCUAUUGCUAUCAGCAGCUAUCACCAUCAGUUUGUCUGUGACUGUUGGAGAGACUGUUGUGUUUUCUUUUCCUUUGUUAUGUACUGUUUUUGGUUAGGCUGAGUCGCAUAGUUUCUUAAUUUUAUGACGCAUUAUAUCCAUAUAUCAUGCAAGGUAAUGACUCCAUUGAGAGUAACAGUGAUACAACAGUCACGACAUUGCCUCAUCAGCAGACACAGGAAGUGCAAAACAAUGUUAAAGUGACGGAAAGUACCUCUUUAACACCCAAUAGUAAUCAAGCUUAUUUUGCUGAUGAAAAAAUUCUUAUACCAGAGACAGAAAAUGGUUUCUUUAGUUUUAGGAAAUUAUGGACCUUCACAGGACCUGGAUUUUUAAUGUCCAUAGCUUAUCUAGAUCCUGGAAACAUAGAAUCCGAUUUGCAAUCUGGAGUAGCUGCCAAAUAUAAGUUAUUAUGGGUAUUACUAAGUGCAACAAUUCUAGGCCUUAUCAUGCAAAGGCUGAGUGCAAGGCUCGGAGUUGUAACAGGCUUACACUUAGCAGAAAUGUGUUAUAGACAAUACAAGAAAUUACCUAGACUGCUUCUAUGGAUAAUGACAGAAAUAGCUAUAAUUGGUAGUGACAUGCAAGAAGUAAUAGGAACGGCCAUUGCUCUUUCGCUAUUAACAAAUGGAGCAAUACCUAUAUGGAGUGGUGUUCUCAUCACAGUAUGCGACACUUUUAUAUUUUUAUUAUUAGACAAAUAUGGUUUAAGAAAGUUAGAAUUCUUCUUUGGAUUUCUUAUCACAGUAAUGGCUGUUACAUUUGGUUAUGAGUAUGUCGUUUCUGCUCCUCCACAAGAUCAAGUAAUAAGUGGCAUGUUUAUACCCUGGUAUACAGAGUAUGAUAGAAAUAUACUAUUACAGGCUGUGGGAAUUGUUGGUGCAGUCAUAAUGCCACACAAUUUAUACCUUCACAGUGCUCUUGUUAAAUCACGACAUAUUGAUCGUACGGAGACCAAAAAAGUAAAGGAAGCAAAUAUGUACUACUUUAUCGAAGCUUGUAUCGCAUUAUUGGUUUCCUUUGUAAUUAACGUAUUUGUUGUCUCAGUUUUUGCACAUGGUCUUUAUAAAAAAACUAAUCUGGAGGUUUAUGAGGUUUGCGAAAAGAAUAAUUAUACUCUAGGAAUGAAACAAUUUCAACAAAACAAUGAAACUGUUACAGUGGAUCUUAAUAGUGGUGGUAUAUUUCUUGGUUGUGCCUUUGGUGCAGCCGCAAUGUACAUUUGGGCUGUAGGUAUUUUUGCUGCUGGUCAGUCUUCCACGAUGACGGGAACCUAUGCAGGACAGUUUGCAAUGGAGGGUUUCUUAAAUCUGCAGUGGGCUCGUUGGAGACGAGUUCUCUUUACGCGAAUGAUCGCUAUUGUUCCUACUUUCCUUGUAGCAUUUUUCGGUAGAGAUUUGAAUAAUUUAACUGGAAUGAAUGAUAUCUUGAAUGCUAUUAUGACCCUCCAGUUGCCUUUUGCUACUUUGCCAACAAUAGCGUUUACUAGCAGUUCUCAAAUAAUGGGCGAAUUCCGAAACGGAAUAGCGAAUAAGAUUAUCGCAACAGCAUUAUCUGCUAUAGUAAUAUGUAUAAAUAUAUAUUUUGUGUUGAAUACGGUCAAAGAUGAUUUACCGCAUCAUUGGGCAAUAAUACUUGCAGUUUCUAUAUAUGCCAUCUUGUAUCUCUUAUUUUGUUUUUAUCUGGUAAUUCAUAUGGCUGUGAGUAUGGGUGCAACUAGUCUGGGUAAUCACUGGUUUGUAAAUAAAUAUAUAGGCAGUCCAGUGAGUACAACACUUGGAUUAUCGAACCCAACUAUAUACGCAAGCUUCUUCAAUGUCUCAGAAACGUCAUUAAACAUGUAAUCAAGUUCUCCUCAUGAAACUAUCUUAAACAAGAUGUGCCUUCUCCUAAGUACAGAAAAUGAAUCAAUUUUAAAGCAAUCACAACACCAUCUGACUUCAACAUACAUCAUACAUGGGUGGACGUACAACGUUACCUCGAUAACUUUCUAACAAAGAUCGAAUCCAGCUUUUAAUAUUCAAGAAACAUGGACGGGAAUUCCAGACUACUGACUAAAAUAAGAUACUAAACGAUAUAGUACAAUACUCGCAAUUCACUUUUUCUUAUAAAAUUGAAGAUUGCAUAGAAUAUAAAACUCAAUGAAUUUAAAAAGUUUCGUAUGAUAAAAUCGUGUAUUUAAAUUUCGUUGUAAUGUCGACAUAUCAUGGCAAUGAUAAAAAAUACGAGAUAAGAUUGUUUGUACAUACUUCAUUGUAAAAUAAAAUAAGUUUAAACCUUAA